AUACGGAGGGUGCAAGCGUUACUCGGAAUCACUGGGCGUAAAGCGCGCGCAGGCGGCUAUUUAAGUUGGAUGUGAAAGCCUACGGCUCAACCGUAGAACUGCAUCCAAAACUAUUUAGCUAGAGUGGGGGAGAGGAAGAUGGAAUUAGUUGUGUAGGGGUAAAAUCCGUAGAGAUAACUAGGAAUACCAAAAGCGAAGGCAAUCUUCUGGAACACUACUGACGCUGAGGCGCGAAAGCGUGGGGAGCAAACAGGAUUAGAUACCCUAGUAGUCC
rnacentral:rRNA from 1 species